CCGCCACCAUGAAAGCCCUUUGCAGUGUUUAGAAAAUCUGCGCUGUCCAAUAUGGCAGCCACAAGCCACAUGUGCCUACUGAGCACUUGAAAAUGGCUCGUUGAGAGCCGAGGCAGCAGGCAGAAGAGCAGGGGAUGGGUGGACAUCUUAAAAUCCAGAGAGUUGGCCAGGCCGGCAGAGCAGAGGGCCACAGACAUCAGGUCUGUUCUCAGAGCAUGGGCCACGGAAACUGAUCUGCCUCCACGAUUGGAGGCUAUUCAUCUACAGUCACAAGGGGGAAGUGCUCAUCUCCCCAGUCUACCAAGAUGACAUCCAGAGGAAUGGAGUGGACGCCUUUUGGAGCAAUGUGAUCCCUGCCUGGCAGCAGGUGCACAGCCCCGUCACCAACAUUGCUCACACCAGCUUCUUCCACGUCAAGCAAUCCAACAUCUGGCUGGCAGCCGUCACCAAGCAGAAUGUCAACGCUGCCAUGGUCUUUGAAUAAGAUCUGUGACAUGAUGGCUGCCUGCUUUAGCAAGAUCAGCCAGGAAAACAUCAAGAAAAAUUUUGUGCUCAUAUAUGAGCUGCUGGAUGAGAUUCUAGACUUUGGCUACCCGCAGAAUUCUGAGACAGGUGUGCUGAAAACCUUCAUCACCCAGCAGGGCAUCAAGAGUCAGCAUCAGACAAAAGAAGAGCAGUCACAGAUCACCAACCAGGUGACUGGGCAGAUCGGCUGGUGGCGAGAGGGUAUCAAGUAUCUCUGGAAUGAGCUCUUCCUGGAUGUGCUGGAGAGUGUGAACCUGCUCAUGUCCCCACAAGGGCAGGAGCUGAGUGCCCAUGUGUCGGGCCGGAUGGUGAUGAAGAGCAACCUGAGUGGGAUACCUGAAUGCAAGUUUGGGAUGAAUGACAACAUCGUCACUGAAAAACAGGGCAAAGGCACAGCUGAUGAAACAAGCAAGAGCGGGAAGCAAUCAAUUGCCAUUGAUGACUGCACCUUCCACCAGUGUGUGCAACUCAGCAAGUUUGACUGAACGCAGCAUCAGCUUUAUCCUGCCAGAUGGAGCGUUGGAGCAUAUGAGGUAUCACACAACCAAGGACAUCAUCCUUCCCUUCCGGGUCAUCCCUCCCUCUAGUGUGAGAAGUGGGAUGCACCAAACUGGAGGUCAAGGUGGUCAUCAAGUUCAACCGUAAACCUGCACUGCUGGCUCAGAAGACUGAGGUGAGGAUCCCAAUCCCCCUGAACACAAGUGGGAUGCAGGUGAUCUGCAUGAAGGGGAAGGCCAAGUACAAGGCCAGCAAGAAUGCCAUCGUAUGGAAGGUCAAGCGCAUGGCAGGUAUGAAGGAAUCACAGAUCAGCGCAGAGAUUGAGCUUCUUCUGCCCACCAAUGACAAGAAGAAAUGGGCUCAACCCCCAUUUCCAUGAACUUUGAGGUGCCAUUUGCGUCCUCUGGCCUCAACAUGUGCUACUUGAAGGUGUUUUAACUGAAGCUGAACUACAGUGACCAUGAUGUCAUCAAAUGGGCGCACUACAUUGGCUGCAGUGGCAUUUAUGAAACUCGCUGCUAGGUGCCACUAGGCAGCUAGGACACCUCCCCACCCACGCUCUUCCACAGGUCCAGGUGCCGCUCCCUCCCCACCACCACACAUCAGUGUCUCCUCCCUCCUGCUUUGCUGCCUUCCCUUUGCACCAGGCCCUGAGUCUAGGUCUGGGCCAAGCACAUUGCAAGUGGGACUGGUGGAGCAGUCCCUGGGCUUCCUGGGCUCCCUGGACUCCCUGGGCAAAGUGGUUCUGAGGCUCCUGCCCUCCCAGCCACCUGUCUGUCAUGGCCUAGCCAGGCUCUGAGUUCUGUGACCAAAGCCAGGUGGGUUCCUUUUCCUUCCCACCCCUGUGGCCACACCUCUGGAUUGGAAGGGUUGGCUGCCCCUCACUCGGAGCUCCCCCAAAGACCAGUAAUGGAUCCCCAGCCCUCAUUUCCUACUCUGCUUUGGGAUAGUGUGUGCUUCAUUUUGUCCAUGUGUGACUCCAUCCAGUUAUAAACCCAAUAAAUUCUGUAGAGUGAAAAAAAAAAAGAAAAGAAAAUGGCUCAUUUGAGAUAUGCUGUAUGUGUACACUCUGGAUUCCAAGACUUAGCAUGGA